CCUACGGGUGGCAGCAGUGAGGAAUAUUGGUCAAUGGACGAGAGUCUGAACCAGCCAAGUAGCGUGAAGGAUGACUGCCCUAUGGGUUGUAAACUUCUUUUAUAUGGGAAUAAAAUGUUCCACGUGUGGGAUUUUGUAUGUACCAUAUGAAUAAGGAUCGGCUAACUCCGUGCCAGCAGCCGCGGUAAUACGGAGGAUCCGAGCGUUAUCCGGAUUUAUUGGGUUUAAAGGGAGCGUAGGUGGAGUGUUAAGUCAGUUGUGAAAGUUUGCGGCUCAACCGUAAAAUUGCAGUUGAAACUGGCAGUCUUGAGUACAGUAGAGGUGGGCGGAAUGCGUGGUGUAGCGGUGAAAUGCUUAGAUAUCACGAAGAACUCCGAUUGCGAAGGCAGUUCACUGGACUGCAACUGAAACUGAGGCUCGAAAGUGUGGGUAUCAAACAGGAUUAGAUACCCCAGUAGUC
rnacentral:rRNA from 1 species